rnacentral:rRNA from 1 species
UACAGGGGGGGCGAGCGUUGUUCGGAAUCACUGGGCGUAAAGCGCGCGUAGGCGGUUCGUUAAGUGGGAUGUGAAAUCCCCGGGCUUAACCUGGGAAUUGCAUUUCAAACUGGCCGACUAGAGUACGGUAGAGGGAGGUAGAAUUUCCUGUGUAGCGGUGAAAUGCGUAGAUAUAGGAAGGAAUACCAGUGGCGAAGGCGGCCUCCUGGAUCGAUACUGACGCUGAGGCGCGAAAGCGUGGGGAGCAAACAGG